ACGGGAGGCAGCAGUGAGGAAUAUUGGUCAAUGGACGAGAGUCUGAACCAGCCAAGUAGCGUGCAGGAUGACGGCCCUCCGGGUUGUAAACUGCUUUUAGUUGGGAAUAAAAGAGAUUACGUGUAAUCUAUUGUAUGUACCAUCAGAAAAAGGACCGGCUAAUUCCGUGCCAGCAGCCGCGGUAAUACGGAAGGUCCGGGCGUUAUCCGGAUUUAUUGGGUUUAAAGGGUGCGUAGGCGGGAUGUUAAGUCAGCGGUGAAAGCGUGUAGCUCAACUAUACCAAGCCGUUGAAACUGGCGUUCUUGAGUGUAAACGAGGUAGGCGGAAUGUGACGUGUAGCGGUGAAAUGCUUAGAUAUGUCACAGAACCCCGAUUGCGAAGGCAGCUUACCAGCAUACAACUGACGCUGAGGCACGAAAGUGCGGGGAUCAAACAGGAUUAGAUACCCUGGUA
rnacentral:rRNA from 1 species